UACGGAGGGUGCGAGCGUUGUCCGGAAUUACUGGGCGUAAGCGCACGUAGGCGGCUUUGUAAGUUAGAGGUGAAAGCCCAGGGCUUAACUCUGGAAUUGCCUUUAAGACUGCAUCGCUAGAAUCGUGGAGAGGUGAGUGGAAUUCCGAGUGUAGAGGUGAAAUUCGUAGAUAUUCGGAAGAACACCAGUGGCGAAGGCGACUCACUGGACACGUAUUGACGCUGAGGUGCGAAAGCGUGGGGAGCAAACAGG
rnacentral:rRNA from 1 species